UAGUCCACGCUGUAAACGAUGAUUACUCGGUGCUGGCGAUAUACGGUCAGUGCCCAAGCGAAAGUGAUAAGUAAUCCACCUGGGGAGUACGAUCGCAAGGUUGAAACUCAAAGGAAUUGACGGGGGCCCGCACAAGCGGUGGAGCAUGUGGUUUAAUUCGAUGAUACGCGAGGAACCUUACCUGGGCUUAAAUGCAUAAUGACAGACCGAGAAAUCGGUUGUUCUUCGGACAGAAUGCAAGGUGCUGCAUGGUUGUCGUCAGCUCGUGCCGUGAGGUGUCAGGUUAAGUCCUAUAACGAGCGCAACCCUUAUCGUUAGUUGCCAGCAAGUAAAGUUGGGGACUCUAGCGAGACUGCCGGUGCAAACCGAGAGGAAGGUGGGGAUGACGUCAAAUCAUCACGGGCCCUUA
rnacentral:rRNA from 1 species